CCCACAAAAAAAUUAAAAAAAGUAAAUAAAAUGUUUAAAAAUCACCGUGGGCUCUUUUCCUCUCUCCUAUCAGAAACAUUUUUAUUGUUUGGUGAUCAGGUGCCAAUAAUCAUUAAGGGCAGCAGCGAGAGAAAACUGUGGGGGCAGCAGGAGAUGAGUAAGACAGCGUGUGUGAUGUUAGGCAGUUGUGGGGGAGGAUGGAGAGAACUCUGUUUUUAUAACGGGGAGGAAUUUGGAGCUCACUGUAUGCACACGAAGCACGAGUUCCCACCAGCUGCCUCUGAAUACUCUGAGAGAGUUUGGGGUAUUUGAGCACCUUGUUCCCGCGACUAAGGAAGUUGUUUUGCCUGUGUCUACGUUGGGCAGAAAGGUCGUGUGAUAACUGGAGAUAUUAGUCUAGUUCUACCAGGCAAUACUCACAGAUUCUGAUUCCUAGCUGCUGUUUAGCCCAGUGGGGUGGGGAUGGUUGCCACCUCAUACAAUGAUGGUAAGGAUAACAAUAGGCUUGUGGGAAGUGCCACCUCUGCGGUUCUCUUUCACAGAGAAUUCCACCCAGUCCAAAUUACACAAGAGGGCCGUCCUCGUCUUUGCAGUCUCAGCUCCGCCACGGUGCUCUUUCCUGAUGGUAUCUGCUGCCUCCCCAGAUAAUCUCCACUUAUCUCUGCCUCCGCUUUGGUCUCUAACCAUGGUGUGCUGGCUCUGACAUGGGCUCCAUGAAAUCUGGUCCUGAAUCUCUGACAUGGAGGCUUUCUGUUGCCAAAGAAAUGUGCCUGUUGACUGUUUCCGUCUGUGCCUGCGACCUGUUGGGCAGGGCACUGAUUCUUUAAGUCAGCAUUUCAAAGAGAAGAUUAAGAACAAGUUAAGGCUUUUGUGCCAAUAGUUCAGUUAAUCCAAGAGGAAAGCACACUGGGUUUCGAGGCCAUGUGAAAUAGCCAAGAUUUAACGUCAAAAGCGAUCGUGGCAAAGUGGCACAUGCUCCUUCCACCGAGAUGGAGAAAUUUAUACAUUGUGUGUGUUUGUGUGCACAUGUGUGUAAGUCAUUUGAUUUCUCAGAGUUUUAGUUUCCCUAUCUGUAAAAUGGGCACAGUGGAUCUCCUGUUUGCUAUCUUAAACACUUGGACAUGUGGGCCAGGGCUUAUUUUCAUGGCUGGUAUAUGCUGGUUGUAUGGACUAGUUAACUAUUCCCAAAUUUAUUUUUUAGAGUUUUUAGUUGGCAGUUAUCUUCUUCUAAGGAUUAUAGUUCAUAGUUUCUGUGAAUAUACUUUUGAAACUGACUUGGUUCAAAACAUCCAACGUUUCCAGAUAUAAACUGAUUGGGAGAAGAUGAAACCAAAUUCAGACCCACCAUUUCUUUGUCACUGGAAUUAACUUAGAUAUUCGGGGCCAUUUACUUGUGGGUCUGCUUAUUUUAUUUCAGCAUGGGCACAUGCAACAAUUCUGGUUAUUGCAUUCUUACAUUGUCCAUUAUUACUGAGACCCAGCCAUGCAGUUGGUGCACAAUGAAUUCACAGCUCUCAGGGCAGAAUAGCGUAACCAGGUACACCUAUAGGGCACAUCACACAUAGGGGACAAGGUGAGUGAUGCCCUAGGGGAAGGCUAGGUGGCAGCUGAUUGCAUGACAGGCUCUGCACCUGCUCACCAGUGUCCAUCCUUUUCCGAGUUCAGCAGGGAUGUGCUAUUUUGGGAAGGAGAGAACUCAGAGAGUGAGGCACAGAGCAAUUUUCUGGGAUUCUCCUACUUGCCUGUAAGACCCUCCCAGGCAAACUCAUCAGAUUCUCCCUUCAACCAAGAGCUCCUGAAGCUUCCAUUCUUCAAAGCCUUCUUCAUGAUACUGGACCGGCAACGGUUACCUCUUUCCUAACACCCACCUCCUAACAUUCCCAUCUUCUCUAAGCGCUGGUUUAAAUCAGUAGGUUUCCCUUUGCCUGAACAUUUCAUAAGUAAUUGUUUUACCAACAUUGAUGAACAUUUCUGUCUAGAUCAUUAUGAUUUAGUCACUGAUAACAUCCUAAACGGUUUGAGUGCUUGCCAUGUCCUAGGGUUAUCAAAUUUAUCUCUUGUGAAAAUCCUAGGAUGCAGGUACCGUAAUUUCUUCCUUGAGAAAGCCGAGGCUUAUCAAGGCUAAAGUAACUUGCUCAAGAUCACACACUGGGGUGCACAGAGCUGAAGCUCCAAGUAGGUUCUUUGGCUCCAGAGAGUGUAUAUUUGACAUUGACCCCGCCUGCGAGCACCCCAUCCUGAGCACCCACUAUGCGCCAACUCAGAGCUAAGUAUGGCAGGGGCACCAGGAAGAUCAAGAUGUCCCCCCAGCCCUCAACGGGGCGUGGGGAGGUGAAGGCAGAAAUAUGUGCUGUAAUGCAGAAGACACCGGGCCACGUUCAUGACCAGGUACAACAGAAAGUGCUGCAGGGGCCCAGGAAGGAGUCGUCAGUUCUGGGUGGGGACCUAUUUUAUAUUAUCCCAAUCUCACAUGGCUAACUUGAAUUUUUGGUUAUUAAAAUGAUGGUUCAGACUUUGAAAACUAGGAAAAAGUGCCUUUACACACACACAAAGAUUGAAUGGAUUUGAGUAAAACAUCGGAGCAUGUUUUCUUAUUUGCAGCCCCCGGUGAGUGGUAGGCAGGGCAGAUUUGAAUGCUCCUCUGUUCAUACUUUUGUUUUUCUUGUAUUGACUGUUCUCUCCAAGGGUGAGUUCAGCUUCCUUUAACAGCUAACCUCAUUCCUUCUCAAGGCAUUAACCUUGAUAUAAAAUCUUGCAGUUGACGCUGAGAGCAGGCCCUGAGCUGAUCCUGCCCUCCCAUACCUGUUCAACUGCUCCAGCUGCUUUAAUCAACAAGCUAGCCAAAGAAACAAAUGAAAAAGCCACCCAGCCCUCAAGUGCAUCUGCAAACAGUUGUUGCAUCGAUGUUUAAUGUUUUGACUUGGUUGCUCUAGCCAAGGACAAUAGUGACACUGUUUGGGUCUCAUAAACAAAGCCUAAAACCUCACUGAGGUCUCCAGGUGGUGAAAGUAACAAAACCCCUUAGAUUAAUGUCAUGAUCAAAUUGCUACUCAGGAACAGUUCCGGGCAGACUAACUUUUGUUCAAGACCCAUUCUCUAAGAAUGAGGCAAUAGGAAGCCAGAGCGUGAGGUGGUGAGAAGUUCUGCCCUGGGCCAGUACGGAUGAGAGGAGCUUCCUGGGCAAUCCCCCUGGGAUCCAGGUUGCAAAUCAGGGUGGGGGUGGAGGGUGGGGAGGCCCCAGCAGGACGCUAGCAGCCAUUAUCCUUUCUGGAAAACACAAACAGAUGGAGGGCUCUGUACAGAUUGCUACCCGACACCCAACAUCCUGUGGCUGAGUAGACAGACACUUGGCUAGCUAAGGCCUUGAUUAGGCUGACAUUUUGAACUUUUCAAGGCAAGCAACUAUUCCAAGAAGCAGAGAUUCUAGACCAAGGAUAUCCAGGUUUGGACAUGACUUAUUGUCUCUCAUGAAACAGAAAUCUGCACUUUUAAGACACAACAGUACCAUCCCAGGAGCGCAGUCAUGAGCAUAACACUGGUUAUCUUGAAUAACGAAUGGAAUCUUCUUUUUCCUUAUCAGCCCAGAGGAACACAUUUAAAAACAAAAAGAUUUGCAGUGUAAGAAAUUUGUUUGGGUGUGUUUUUUCCCUAAUUAUUAAUAUGUCAAAAAGUAAAUUAUAGUACUGGACUUGUGAGAUUACUUAGGUGUUUUUUCAAAGCAUUAACGUAAGAGCAGAAAAUCAGACUAAGAUGCACUGGUUUCCACUCCCUGCCCCUUCCAGAUGAGGAGAGAAGGGCUGUGAGGGCUCCCAGGCCCCUGGCACUGUUAGAACUUCCUCAGGCUCCUGCAGAGCCUCACAGGGGCCUGUCUCAUGUCUGUCUGGCUGUUCCAGGCAGUUUACUCAGCUGCUAGCCUGCCUGAACUUCUUUGUUUUUAGGCAUUUUUCUUUUAAUUGAGACUUUAUUUUUUUUAAGCAGUUUUAGGUUCAUAGUAAAACUGAGCGGAAGGUACAAAGAUUUCCCACAUGCCCCCUGCCCCCACGCAUGCAUAACCUUCCUCAUCAUCAACAUCCUCCGCCACAGUGGGACAUUUCUUACAAUAGAUGAAGCCACAAUGACACAUCAUUUUCACCCCAAAUCCAUAGUUUACAUUUGAGGUUCAUUCUUGACAUACAUUCUAAGGGUUUGGGCAAAUGUAUAAGAACCUGUAUCCAUGGUGAUAGUAUCAGACAUAGAAUUUCACUUCCCUAGGAAUACUCUGGGUCCACCUAGUCACAAAAAUAUGAAGCGCUUCUUGAAUUUGCAUGUUAUCCUUGCCCAGGGCUGCUCUAAUCUUCUCUGUAUUGCUCUAAUUUUAGUGUAUGUGCUGCCGAAGAGAGGGCUGAACUUCUUUUUUAUGACGCAAAAUCAAAAAGGCUUUCCCUGUUGAAACUCAGCCCUUGGACGUAGUGAGUGGAGGGCUGCAGAGCUGGCAUGGGUCGGCUUUGGUCACCCUGACCAGUGUCAUCACCACUUUGCCCUGGUGGGGAGACCACUCUCCAACCUCUGCAGGAACCUGUGGAGGACUCAGGUCUCUGGCAGCAAUGUCCGGAUUUGAAAUUGCAUGGAUUUCCCAUUCCUACCACGCCGAGGGCAGGGGCAAUGCUUUUUAAGAAAAUGUUCAUCACCGGAGCUCCAGUUCCAGGCAUAGAAUUGGCACCCAAUAAAAGUUUGUGAGUUGAACUGUAUAAACUAGAAGGCAGGGGAAAAUAUCAUUGUUCUUUAUAGUGAUAUCUCUAUUAAGGAAGCAGAUAUGUCCCUAUCGCAUGUAUAACUGCCAUACAUGUGUCUACCAGAGCUAGGAAUGAGAGAAGUAGGGGUUGAGGGUUCCCUCUGACCAUGCCCUGCCAGGAAACUCCCUCUCCUCCAGGUAGGGCGGACUCUAUUGCUCUGGUUCACACAAAGGGUUGGGUGUUCUUAUUAUUUGUCUGUUUUUUCUUUUCAGUGCUUGGAUUAGUGCCUGUCACAUUAUAGGGGUUCAAGGAAUUUUGGUGGAAUGAAUGAGUAAAUGAUGGUUACUCACCCCAGUGAUGGGAAGGCCUUGCAUAACUUCAGCCUGGGCAGUGCCCUCCGCAAUCCUGGACUUAGAUGCAUGGGGGUCCAGAUGUACAGCCUUCCACCCUCUGCCAGAGCUGGGGCUGACUCUGUCCUCAUUUAACUGCCCCUUCCCAGUCAGUUGUUGCUUUCAAUUUCCAUUCUUCUACACCAGCUUCAUUAUAAUGAGUUGUGUCUACAAGCAGUUAGUCCUGUGCUGCCUCUAAAUCUUCUAUUUUGCAAACCAAGCAGGCAUUAUUCUUUAGUACUUCCUUGGAGUUCAUGCAUCCUGGAUUUUAGCCCGUUCUUAUAGCUUUCUUCCUCACAUACCUAAAAAUGCUUUAAUAUAUUUGAUAAUCACUUUUGCCAGGAGUGAGCAGAAGAGAGUCCUUGCAUGCUACCUACUCCUCUUUAAGCAGCGGCCUACAGUAAUACUUUCAAUCUCUCUUUUCCCCACCCCAUCCCACCCAUCGCCAUAUUUGCAGCCUAUUCACUACCACAUUGUUGAUUUCUGCAUAGUGCAUAUUUGCCCUGAGAUUUAAGAUUGAUCCUUCUCUGUCCAGCCCUGUAUGGUAGGGAAAUACAUUUCCCAGGCUCCCUUGCCCUCUAGCUUCUAAGUUCAGUCAUUGAGAGAAAAUGGGAAAAGACUGGAGGGGGAGAGGAAGGGAGAAGCCAGGGUAUUUCUCUCUAUCCCAGCCCCCACUUUUGUCAGCGUGGCUGCUGUUGGCUGGACCACUUCCAUGGACCCAGCAGGGCAGUCCUACCCCUGGGAUCUGGUAGCACCACUGUUCUCUCUCCAUCCCUGGGGAUAGUAGCAGAUGUCUGUUCUUGUUCCUCUUGAGAUCGCCUCCCCGUGUCCUCUCUUUGGUUUCUCAGCUCUUCCAUUACCUUUGUAAUCAAUUCCCUGUAUCAAAUCCACCCUGUUUGAGAAACCUAAAGUGAUUUCUGGUUUCUGACUAGACUGUAAUACAUGCAGCAUGCAAAUACUACUGCUGACUUCGCAUGAGCUUCUCACUUUCCCUCUGACUGCCCUUUGGAAUGCAGCACCUACCUCACAAGAUACUGUCAUAAUCGGUUGUUUGUGGAAGAUCUCUGAAAUCCUGGAAAGGCUGGUAAGUUAUAAGUAAGAGCAAUAUGUCAUUAAUUAGCAUUCAUCCAAAUACUCUCUGCGUAAUAAAGAAUGUUUCAUUUCUCUUCCUUUUGGAGCAGCCGUUUGCAAGGUCCCUGGUUGAAGAGACUGGAGCCCUCCCUUGGCAAUGGUUUUGCUUGCCUUCUAAGCCUAGAGGCACCUGUGGUAGCUGACUUGUCGCUCACUCAGAGCUGGGCCAUCUUGUACUUAGGCCAAAGCCGUUUGUCCCCUCAGCUUUGGAUGCCAAUGUACACCCAAAGCUAAAUUCAGGCUAGAUAUCCCAAGGGAUCUGGCGGGUGACUCGGGGCUGCAGGUUUGGGUUGAUGAAGCUUAUUGGGAAAAGCAUGGCCUUUGGGACCAGAUAUACCUGGGUUUGAAUCCCAGCUUUGCAUCUCCUGAGCUGUGUAAAGUUGGGGGAAAUUAUUUUAACUCGUUUAAAGUUCCAUGUUUUUCUAAUGUCAAAUGGAGAGAAGAAAGCUUUACACCAGGCUUUACAUCAGGUGGUUGCCUCAGAGAAAAAGCCCUGCCUUGGGGCCGCAGCCAGCAUUUACACAUCUCAGACUUGGCUACUGAGAGCCGACUCUUCUCCCUUCCCAUCACCACAGUACGGAAGGGAACUCCUGUUCCGUCGGGUAUUGAGAACACAAAGCCUGCUCCCAUCCGUUUCCGGAUGUGCUCAGAAGUGACCCAGAACCUAAGACAUUUCAAGGAAGACAAUAACUCUGUUUCUACUAAAAUGUCACCCUCCUUAAUUUAUUUCUUUCCUGUGUUUAUUCAUCUUGCCCAUUUAUUAAACCCUUGUUUGAUUGCUUAGUCUUUGCAAGUAGGAUGUAAAAAGGAAGAGAUCAGGAAUAUUUAAUUUUGCAUAGCGCUGAGCUCUGACCUGGUAAACGUUGGAUGAUGUUGAUAGGAAUGUCCUGAAUGUCCAACCUUGAGGGACUAGACAGGUGUUUUCCUUUAUGAGAGGUGGUCUAAGUUCUGGUUUGACCAAACUCUAAGCUGGAGGGCAUCAUAUCAGGGUUAUGCUUUUGUUUUAAAAUCCCUUGAAAGGAACUGAUUUCUGCUAUUUAGGGGAGUGGACAAACUAUACCAUUACAUUAAUUUUACUUAAUAGCUGUUAAAUGUCUUUUGCCAUUGCUUUCGCUACUUAAAAGGGAAAAUGUAGGCCAGUCAACUCACAUUAUGCUCUUCUAAAAGGCAGACCCCAGUAGAUAGAUGGGAAAGGUGGAGGAAGAAUCCUACACCUCAGACCAUGCUACCCAGUGCCGAUUUGCCUAGAUUUGAAAAGCUGGGUUAGGAAAGACUCUGGAGCACAGCUCUAUCUCGCAGAGCUGAGGACUGAGAUGUCCUAAGAAUAGGAAGCACAGAGCUUCAAACCUCCUUAAAGAAGGACCUUGCCACCGGAGGUGGCCAAGGGACUCGGACAGCUGAAAGGAACCUUUCCCUUCUUGUCCUUUGAGAAAGGGAGGUGGGGAGAUGGGCCAUGGGCGUGAGGAGUUGCUGGUUGGUUGGAAUGCAAAUUGAUAAACAGCAGCAGAGACAAAGUCCUUCUGACUCUGAAACCAUAGUUCAACAAGCAGCAGCUGUGUGGGGACUGGUCCUAAAGUAGCUCCUAAUGAGAAUGCAAUGAGGGCCCCAGUAAAAUCACCCUGAUUUAGAAGUAACGUGAUUAGUAUGCUUAGCUUAGCUUUUCAGCUUUCUUCCCUGGUCUGUAGGUUUCCAAAUUAGCCCUAUAGGACAUGCGAGGUCACCUGUUUAUGCUCAUGGGCCUGUGCGCACAAUGGAAAUCAACCACACAUCAUUCAGUUGAGACUUUUUAGUUCUGCGAUCUGUCCAUCAAGCGCUCUCGGUUCACCUACCCUACUCUAUCGUCACUUAAAAAAUUUUAAAUAACACUACCCCUUUCCAAAAUACUGCAUAAUUUUUAAAAAUUAUGUCUAUUAAGAGAUGUAUUAAGAGACAAUCGUCUCUUCCCUACCCACCCUCCUAGACUGUGAUUUCCGUGAGAAGAGCUAUCUCUGUGUGUUCUGUCACUGAUGUAUGUCCCCAGCACUUAGAACAGGGCUUGAAAGACAGCAGAUGCUCAAGAAAUAUUUGUUGCAUGCAUGAAUGCAUAAAGCACAAUCCUGGCUUGACAUUUUUAUACAUCAAAAGGUUGACAAUAGAGACUUAUGUUUGAAGAUUUCAAGAGCUGUCUUUGGGUAAAUAAAAAGGCAGUUCUGUGCCUUUCUCUGUCAACACCUAUAAUCUACACAGCUGUCCAAAGUGUGGAGCUGUGGGCAGCUGAUUGGACUUGCAGGUUCCAGGUUGGUCAUCUCAGCCAGAUUGAAAUGUGAUUCUUUGUGUUCACUGCUGAAGAUUAUACUGGAAGGCAGUAGAAUUCAGUCACACAGCAGGGUCUCAAUAGGAGGCAUACACUAAUGAAUCUAGUGAACUUAGAUGAACCUAGUGACUUUGUCACUUGAGUAAAUCUUCUAGACUCAGAGACACAAUUCAUUUACGUGCUUUAUUAUGUGAAUGAACUUUGUGCUUAAAAACGCACAAUAGACCACCAUCUCCAACCACAAAUCCAAUUAACUUACCAGGCUGGAAAAAUAUAUCUCUUAGGCAGACUAGAUAAUCAAACCAAGCUCACUAGCAUGGUCUCGCCUAUUGAAAAGCUGCACAGGAAGCCAAAUUAUCAGCUUAGUGACACUGGCUUCAGAACCAGGGAACACAGUUCCAGGACUCAGAUGUUGGAAGGCCGAGGUUCUGACAACUGGUUGUCUCCUUCUCCACAGCUGGGACCCCUAUGCCCUCACGGGCCUCCAGUCCACCUCCAUCAGGGCACACUCUCAUCUCUUGGGACAGUGCAAAUGGGCACAGCUAAAGUUUGUUUCCGAAACUCCCCCUUUUCUGUGCUUCCAUGGGUGAUUACCACAUUCCUCUGUGAAAUAUGUUCCCACUUCGGUCAAGUCUUGCUCUGGCCUGGGGAUCGUUCUGCCUCACUGACUCUUAGAUUAGAACUUCAUGUAGACCAGAAGUAUUUCUUGAGUAUUUCUUGAGUGUUCACUCCAAGCUAACCAAUGCAAAUGGCUCUUCUCUGACCCAUUGGUGAUUUGUCUUUAGACUUUAACUCUUCAGAGUGUAUCCAUUUCUCUUUUCCAAAUGGUUGGGAUACCCUCCUACCUCCCCUAUUCACUGCCUUUGCCUUUCAAGAAACCUCCAAAUACUGACGGAUUUGCUCUCCUGAGCAGCCUCUCCCAUGGAGAGCAGAGCAAGUGACUCUCCGACCCAAACGUUCUGAUCCCUGACGAUUUGUUUCUUCCUAUAAAUUGGUAAGUUGUCUUUUGAGUGUGUAUGGCCACCUCUAAUGAACUCGAACACUUCAACUUGCUCCUCUAGAGCUUGAUCAUUCUUGGGAGAUGAGACAUUGGAAAGUCACCGGAGGACUGAGAGAAAUGCAGCCUGAGCUGAGGAGCCCAGGCCAAGGGCCCUCCAAGGGCAAUGCCAGCAUGGAAGAGCCAUUUUACCAUCUUCACAACAAUGGGACCGCUGAGAAACGUUCAGAACAAAGCGUUGAUGAUGCAGAAUGGCUGACGUGCUCACCACAUUAAAAGAUAAACCUUUGGCCCAAUGCCUGGAUACCAGGAGCCCUGAGGCAAGUCCUGUUUACAUCUAUCACUGACAGCAGGGGGUAUUCAGGACUGAACCCUGUCACAAGGAACGAUCAGCGGGCCUUGGGGACAAGACGUAGCAGAAGAAAAAAGAAGAACCUGUAACCAAAGCCUUUGACUUCAUUUGGAAAAUGUGGUCUUAAAAAACACCUCAGUUCGGACCAGCUGCAUUUCAAGUUCUCAACAGCCAUGUGUGGCUAGUGGCUACUCUUCUGGACAGCACAGCCAUAAGACUAUUCCAUAGAAUAAACAUUCCGAUUAACUGAAAUGCUACUGUUUUGAAUUCUGACUCAAGAACUUCAUUAUUAACUCAGCCUGACCUGGGCUUCCCGCAUGGACCUGUUAACCUGAAAAUACCCGGUUGCGAUCUGAAUGUGUGUGUCAGCUCCUGUCUCCUCCCUGGGCCCAGGCGAGCCCAGCGCAGACUGAGGCUGAGAUGACCGUCUUCUUGCUGUCCCCACGUGGUCUUUCCUCUGUGCACACAUGCUCCUGUUGCACCUUCUUAUGAGGACAUCUGCCCUACCGGAUUAGGGUCCCACUCUA